GGAAACGGAUAGAGCUAGCGUAUCUGGCUUGCAUUCAACUGUUGGGCUGCUGACUUCAUGGUCGCUGCCUCCAGAUUGGGGUAGUUGCUUUGAGUGGCGGUAGUCUGGUGGUGCAUUUGCAAGUGGUGUGCGCCGAGACGCUCGGGGCAGCGGCAUAAACUCGGUUUUGAGGCCAGCCCGCAAGGGUCUGGUACCCGAUCCGGGGGAGUGUUGUUUGUUCUGGGUGUACCUGUUUUGGCAUGGCUUACGGGUUCGGGUGGGUGUCGAGCUGGUAGCCUGUUACGGUCGCAUGCGACACGUGCUGGCGGUCAGUUCGGUCCUAUUCGAGCUCUCAUGUCUACUCUCGGUGUAAAAGCUGGUCAUCUAUCCGACCCGUCUUGAAACACGGACCAAGGAGUUUAUCGUGUACGCGAGUCAUUGGGCGUUUAAAACCCAAAGGCGAAAUGAAAGUGAAGGUAUCCAUUAGGAACUGACGUGCGAUCCUGCACAUCACGGUGUGUGGGCGCAGCAUGGCCCCAUCCUGACUGCUUGCAGUGGGGUGGAGGUAGAGCGUACGCGGUGAGACCCGAAAGAUGGUGAACUAUUCCUGAGCAGGAUGAAGCCAGAGGAAA
rnacentral:rRNA from 1 species